rnacentral:lncRNA from 1 species
AAAAGAUUUUGUUUCGAAGUAGUGUCAGUAUAUAUGAGAGCGGAGUGUGUGCACAUCCUUAUAUCGUCCUUCAAUAAUUUACCAAUUUUAAAAAUUGUAUUCCAGAAGAUAAAAUUGUAACUCAAAUAAAAGAUUGCUUGUUUUGUUAGUUAUGUUUGCGUUUCCUUUUUAGGUCUAGAAUAUUGUUUUGUGUCAUUUUAGAAUGUCAUUUUCAUCUGUGUUUAGGUUAAAUAUAUAAGAGACUUCGUUCAUAUGAAAUGCAUGGUCAUAUAGUCACUAACUUAUUAUAUAUGUAUUAAUAAUGGCUAUUCCCUAAUUAUUCUGUAACUAUUGUUAGCACAGUCAGUAGAGAAAAAAAACUGUUGUUUAGCACACAAAAGAGGAAAAAUGGUUCACGAUUCAGAGUAUUCGUUGUGUGAGGAAAUAAAUAACGACCCAGUUCUCAGCUGCCUCCUCACAUACUGCGGGGCCAAAAAAAAAGGGGUAAAGCUGUUGUGUUUUCCCUAUCCAACUCAAUAUGGGUUUCCAAC